rnacentral:rRNA from 1 species
AACGAACGUUAGCGGCGCGCUUAACACAUGCAAGUCGAACGAGAAAGGGCUUCGGCCCCGGUAAAGUGGCGCACGGGUGAGUAACACGUGGGUAACCUUCCCUUGAGCGGGGGAUAACAUUCCGAAAGGAGUGCUAAUACCGCAUAAGACCACGGCCUCGAAAGGGGCAGCGGUCAAAGCAGGCCUCUUCAUGAAAGCUUGCACUCAAGGAUGGGCCCGCGGCCCAUCAGCUAGUUGGUAGGGUAANGGCCUACCAAGGCAACGACGGGUAGCUGGUCUGAGAGGAUGAUCAGCCACACUGGAACUGAGACACGGUCCAGACUCCUACGGGAGGCAGCAGUGGGGAAUCUUGCGCAAUGGGCGAAAGCCUGACGCAGCGACGCCGCGUGAGUGAUGAAGG